UGCGGAAGGAUCAUUAACGG
rnacentral:piRNA from 1 species